AAGCAGCAGUGACUCAGCGUGUUGUCUGCAUUGAUGAAGUCUGCUUUAAUAGAAAAACCAACGGAAUCUGACUAAAAUUUGGCUCACAAGCUUGUGACUGUUAGAGAUUUUUCUUCUCUCAUCAAUAGUUCGCUUGUUUUCAAGUUAAGUGAAAUUUCUCACGUAUACCAGCACAGACAAAAAGGUCUAUACAAUGUUGAAUGGGCGUUUAAUAAAACCAGCGGGCAUAUUUCCCUAUAUCAACGAUAAAGUGGACAUUUCCAGCGAUAGUGGAAUUAAAGUAUAUAGUGUAGCAAGUUGCUAACUUCGUCUUCAGGACUUCAAUAGACCAAUGCAGAAGACAUUUCACAACAGUUGAUUACUGAAUUCAUGAAUGAAAUUUUGACAUAAAGUAAUGAGCAACUGACAUAACGCACGUGGAAACAACAUCAAUGUCAGUGAAAACAUUGAAUCCCGUUAGCUUGUUAAAUGGUCUUUUAUACCAGCUCGUGUUUUUCUUGUGAACUGAACACAAACACAGUGCUUAAGAUUGACCAGUGCCGCCUCCAAUAAUGAUUCAUGGACCCAGAUUGGAUGAAUCCGGACGCUUGGACCAUCCACAAGCAGAUCAAUGACGAGUUUAUGAACAUAAAUUGGAUAAAUCCGGAUCCUUGAGACGUCUACAAGCACACAGAACGUGAAAUAUUUGCAGCAAACUUAGAGGAUGACAAAUGUUUACUGAAACCGGUGUGCCCAUCGGCACCCCUGACACAGCAGACAGAAAUAGCGAUUGGUAAUGACAUUCUAUAACGAAUUCAUUGUUCGUUUGUAACACGAAACCCCACCGAUACUGAUGAGAUAGUGGUGAUCUACUUAUUGUACUGCGUAAUCUCUAGCUCAAGGCAAAGCGAGAGCUUUUCGAGAAGCUUAAAAAUACGAACACUGCACGGAAGAUGGACGGCACAGUUUCUGAAAUCUCGACAGAUAGCGCAGAUUUUGCAGAGUCUUUUAGUUCUAACCAUGAUGAGUAGAACAUGGUGCAACGGUUUGAUCAAAAAUAGGCGUGGGGCGAGGAAGCGUUUUUCACUUUGGAGGGUUGGAGACAAAGCAUCGCUAUGCAACAGCGAAUAACUUUUUCGUGUUUGUUGAUAUAUCCUGACUAACUAGGCAAUUGAAUACCGCAAAUUCAGGUGUUUUAAGUUGGAAAUUGUUUAAAUGCAUCCAAAUGAUAUAUUAUGAGAUGCGAUAAUUUUUAUGCCCUAGUUGUUUAUAAACAAACCUACUUGCUGGCAAUUUUUUUUUUUCAAUAUGGCCGAUUCUUAUUCUGACAUAUCGUUACACCAUGUCUUUAUUCAUCAUGGUUCAAACCUGAUUGUAUUUGCCCAGCAUAUCCAGCUUUCCACGAGCGGUAAUGGCGGAAUGAUUUGACA